rnacentral:tRNA from 2 species
GGGCCUGUGGUGUAACGGCAACAUACGUCCAUGGCAUGGAUGAGAUUUCGGGUUCAAAUCCCGACUGGUCCA